GCCCAACACCUACUGCCUAUGUGUUCUAUGCAAAGAUGUUGUCUACACCUACAGAAUGUUCCAAAUCAAUGAGGGGUCCUGGACAGUUGAGUACGCUAGAUUUGAGAACUCUGACUCGCAUAUGAUUGUGGUGCCAAACUGGAACAGAACAUCUGUUGCUUUCUCAGUCAUGCAGGAGACAGCUUCCUGCUGUUGAUGAGCAACCCAAAAUUACAAACCCUGGAGUAGACACACGAUUAUUCAGGAAGAUAAGGAAUCUGAUAGCUGCCUUUGGUAAACCAAACCAGGGCCUGGAGAUGCCC